AUGAGUAUCUUGUGCUGGAACUGUCGAGGCCUUGGGUCGGACUCGACAGUUGGCGAGCUUCGCUGGUUAGUGAAGCUUUACCGGCCCGCCCUCCUCUUUGUGUCAGAAACGAAGAUGAAGGAAUCACGUGUACGGAAUUUAAUGUGGUCUUUGGGUUUUAAGGGUUGUUUUGCUGUGGGUAGUGAUGGUCUGAGUGGUGGCCUGGCCUUGUUCUGGUUAGAGUAUGUUGAUGUUUCUCUGAAGACCGCCAACAACAGAUGUAUUGAUGUUCAUGUCACAUCGGAUGGUGGCCUUACUUGGCGUGCUACUUGUGUGUAUGGUGAGCCACGAAGGGAAGAGCGGUAUCAUUUCUGGAAUUUCCUUCGCCGCAUGCGGGCACAAUGGAAUGGUCCGUGGAUAUGUUGUGGUGACUUUAAUGAAGUUUUGUCCCAAGAUGAACACUGUGGCCCUCGGGAUCGUUCGGAAAAUCAAAUUGCUGCGUUCCGAGAUUGCCUGUCUGAGUGUGAGCUCGUGGAUUUGGGCUUCUCUAGACCUAAGUUCACGUGGUGUAGUCGCCAGGAUAUGGAUAGUCAUGUGAAGGUUCGUCUUGACAGAGCAGUUGCAAAUGGUGAGUUCACUCGGUUAUUUGAUGGUUGUUAUGUGGAGAAUGUCAUUACUACUACCUCCGACCAUUAUGCUGUACUGAUCCACUUUUCUCAAUAG
rnacentral:rRNA from 1 species